rnacentral:tRNA from 1 species
GCGCACAUAGAUUAAAGGCUAGAUUAUCUGCCUUCCAAGCAGAAGGUAUGGGUUCAAUUCCCAUUGUGCGUA